GAUGAACGCUGGCGGUGUGCCUAAUACAUGCAAGUCGAGCGAACAGACGAGGAGCUUACUCCUCUGACGUUAGCGGCGGACGGGUGAGUAACACGUGGAUAACCUACCUAUAAGACUGGGAUAACUUCGGGAAACCGGAGCUAAUACCGGAUAACAUGUUGAACCGCAUGGUUCAACAGUGAAAGACGGUCUUGCUGUCACUUAUAGAUGGAUCCGCGUCGCAUUAGCUAGUUGGUAAGGUAACGGCUUACCAAGGCAACGAUGCGUAGCCGACCUGAGAGGGUGAUCGGCCACACUGGAACUGAGACACGGUCCAGACUCCUACGGGAGGCAGCAGUAGGGAAUCUUCCGCAAUGGGCGAAAGCCUGACGGAGCAACGCCGCGUGAGUGAAGAAGGUCUUCGGAUCGUAAAACUCUGUUAUUAGGGAAGAACAAAUGUGUAAGUAACUAUGCACGUCUUGACGGUACCUAAUCAGAAAGCCACGGCUAACUACGU
rnacentral:rRNA from 1 species